rnacentral:rRNA from 1 species
GAUGAACGCUGGCGGCGUGCCUAAUACAUGCAAGUAGAACGCUGAAGGCAGGAGCUUGCUCUUUCCGGAUGAGUUGCGAACGGGUGAGUAACGCGUAGGUAACCUGCCUGGUAGCGGGGGAUAACUAUUGGAAACGAUCGCUAAUACCGCAUAACAGUAGAUGUUGCAUGAUAUCUACUUAAAAGGUGCAAUUGCACCACUACCAGAUGGACCUGCGUUGUAUUAGCUAGUUGGUGAGGUAACGGCUCACCAAGGCGACGAUACAUAGCCGACAUGAGAGGAUGAGUAGCCACACUGAGACGGAGACACGGCACAGAGGGCUACGGGAGGGAGCAGGAGGGAAUCGUGGGCAAGGGGCGGAAGACAGACCGAGAAACGCCGCGGGAGGGAAGAAGGAUGUCGGAUCGGAAAGCACGGUUGUAAGAGAAGAACGAGUGUGAGAGUGGAAAGUUCAGAGUGUGACGGUAUCUGAUAAGAAAGAGACGGCUAACUACGUG